UACGAAGGGUGCAAACGUUGCUCGGAAUCAUUGGGCGUAAAGCGCACGUAGGCGGUUCGUUAUGUCGGAUGUGAAAGCCCUUGGCUUAACCGAGGAAGUGCAUCCGAAACUGGCGAGCUAGAGUACGAAAGAGGAUCGCGGAAUUCCCGGUGUAGAGGUGAAAUUCGUAGAUAUCGGGAGGAACACCGGUGGCGAAGGCGGCGAUCUGGGUCGAUACUGACGCUGAGGUGCGAAAGCGUGGGGGAGCAAACAGG
rnacentral:rRNA from 1 species